AACGCGAAGAACCUUACCUGGGCUCGAACGGCUCGUGAACGAUCGUGGAAACACGGUUUUCCCGCAAGGGACUAGAGUCGAGGUGCUGCAUGGCUGUCGUCAGCUCGUGUCGUGAGAUGUUGGGUUAAGUCCCGCAACGAGCGCAACCCUUGUCCUGUGUUGCCAUGCCGAAAGGCGGAACUCGCAGGAGACCGCCAGCGAUAAGCUGGAGGAAGGUGGGGAUGACGUCAAGUCCUCAUGGCCUUUAUGUCCAGGGCUACACACGUGCUACAAUGGGCGGUACAAAGCGCUGCGAAGCCGCAAGGUGAAGCCAAUCGCAAAAAACCGCUCUCAGUUCGGAUUGCAGGCUGCAACUCGCCUGCAUGAAGCUGGAAUCGCUAGUAAUGCUAUAUCAGAACGAUAGCGUGAAUACGUUCCCGGGCCUUGUACACACCGCGAGC
rnacentral:rRNA from 1 species